UCAUCAUGAUCCGAAUCCCAUUACACAGAUCCAUGGACAUCAUAAUAUAUAUUAAUGCUAUAAGCAAUGUAAAGUGAUAUCAAAUGAUAUAAUAAGCAAAAAGAGUACGUGUUAUGUCACACGUACCAUCACUCACGUGAUUAGUUUACAAGGCACCUAUUACUAGCAAUCUCCCACUUGACCUAAAGCCAAUCACAUAUGUGACUGAUCCCCAUCUAACCCCUA
rnacentral:lncRNA from 1 species